rnacentral:lncRNA from 1 species
ACCGCACUGCUCCCCCCUCGGCUCGGCAGAGAGAAAGCCAAAGAUGAACAAGAUGCUGGCUCUGGGUUUGCCAGCCCUGCUCUGCUUAGCAACGGCUGCAGCUCUCCAGUGCAACGGCUGUUUCAUGAUGCUACAGGAUGGCAGCUGUAUGCUAGGCAAACACACCUGCACAGCCGCGCGGGGAGAAUCCUGCUUUACCCGUAAAAUCACUAUCGCGGGCUUUAUCAAUCGUGUGGAGCGGGGCUGCACAUCCAUCUGCGAGGAUACAGAGAUCCCUGAAGACUACUACAAGGACACCACCCAGUGCUGCACAGAUGGGGACUUCUGCAACAUCCACAACCCCUUCCCCAAAUUCUCCGAUUAUGCCUAAGGGGAGACUGGUGUUCAGGGCUGGCAGGAGCUCCCUUCACCCCACCCCUGGCUCUGGGUUAGUCUCUCACGCCCCUCGCCUCAUGUAAAAUCCAGCAGGACCCAAGACCAUCCCCUGGUGUCAUCCUCAAUCACACGCUCCUGUUAGCUACAAAUGAUAUUUAAAUUAGGAAAUGAACUCUAACCUCUGGCCCUGCCCCACUCCCCCUGGCC